UAUAAAAGGCGUCCGCCGGUGGUGGUGGUGGUAGUGGUGGGGGCUCCCCCUGCGCCUUUGCUGGCCCCUUCCAGCCAAAGCAGAAAUCUCCGCGAAGGCGACACGCGCGACCCGAUGGCGAGUCGCACCUUGACUUCCAAGAGCCCGAUCCUCAGGGAAUGCUUUGAAGAAGGGAAUUGUUCCCUCUCCUGUUGGAUUGCUAGGUUCAGGGUUAGUUCACGGGACGGCGACCCCCGCGGAGGCUUGCAAGGGGCAACCCCUCUCGUUAAACGUUUGGCCCGGCUUCCAUAGGAGAAGCUGGCGGAUUUUGCACUGAACGAUUUAAAAAGCAAAUUCCUCGCCGUACCUCCCCCUUGAUGCAGGAGAGAAGUGCAUCCACAGUCUCUGGACAGUGACCUGUGUCACUCGUCUUUACAAGAGGUAGACAAGCUGCUAUUCUCCAUUUGGAAAAAGGAAACUGAAAAAACGAAGAUCUUCACACAGAGUGUUUCUGCCCCAGCUGAGACUUGAACUUAGGCUUCUGGUUAUCAGGCGACAGAACAGGCGGUUUGAUUACCCAACUUCAAGAAACAAGAAAGCUUUUGGAUCUCUCCUCUCACCCAUUCUCUGAAUGUGCCUCAAAAUGUUUGUGAAACGAGAAAACAAAUUGUCCACUCCACAAAAGUGGCAUAAGAAUACUGUCUCCUUAAAAGAAGACUAGAAAGUGACCAGUCUUCCAUUAAUUUGAAAAAUUUCCCAAGAAUGAUGAAAUCUAAAUACUGUACAGUAAUUGCAGAAUUUCUCGGGUAAACUGUUAGAAAUUAUUAAAGCCAGAACUGUCACACAUGCAGCUUUUGUUUGUUUUAGGAAGCCUUCCUGAAAAAGAAACAGGAUUGCUUCUGUGAAGGAAACCUUGCCUUAGUAAUCCUCUUAGUGUAAUUUGAGGUUCUCUUGUAGGAAUGAGUUUAGACAUUUCUUCAUGCAAGGUAUUGCCUGAUAUACUGUUGCUUUGUUAUGCAUGUGGAGGGCAAACUAUGUAACAUUCAGUUGCUUCUAGUUGGCAGUUAAUGAGUCCCCACUGGGAUUUUCAAGUGUGCACCAAGCGCGCCCCUGAGAAUCCCAGUACCAGCUUGUUCACAGCAAGCUAGAAGCAACUGAAACAUUAUGUUCCCUGCCUUCUGCGCAUGUAACAAAGCAACAGGAUUUCAGCCAUUGCCUCAGUAGAUGAUGGCAGCCUCUAGUUUAUGCACCUUGCAACAAAUAGACUCAGCACUCUGGACAGCAAAUUUGCUAACAACAUGGAAAAGUUUGCUUUUCAGACAAAAAUUCUCAGAACCCUCAAGGCAGCAUACCUAGUGAUUGGAGAUGAGAUGCUAGAGUAAUUGCCAAAAAAGUAACCUUUCCAAAUUCUGGUUCACACUAGUAAGGCCUUUCGGGUGGUGGCUGUGAAUAUCUGAAAACAGAAUGCAGAACCUUUGCUCUGGUGAGUGAGGAAAUAUUUUAUUGAUUGAUAAGGACCAUGUAGUCCUUAGUACUUUCUGUGUAUAUAGUGUGAAAUAAAAAUAAUUGCAGGAAAUGGAGAAAUUGGCUGAGAUGCAAACUGGGAAGCAGCCAGCUAUAGCUCAAAUUGGGUUCCAGAGUUAGUCUCCUAGGUUACAUUGGUUCACCACCAUCAACCAGCCAGUGUAUUUUCUUCUACAUCUGAAUGGAGGGGACAGCAACACAGACAGGUCGGGCUAAUUUGGCAAAGGAUAGCAUAAGACAGUAGCAAACCAUUUGGUAUCAUUAAGUCCAGCCACUAUAUCUUGUUCCUCUCCUAAAAGAGGCUAUGCUAUGUAUAACAGCCCUAAAUAAUGAUGAUACACCACAUGCGGGCUAGUCUCCUAUGAUCUUUCCUGCAUUUCUUUCCCAUUUAAUUAAUCAUGAAUGAACGGCCAACUGUAAGAAUCUGAACUUGUUCUUAUUGCACUUCCCAAGUAUUCUAGCUCUCUGCAUUUUAUAUCGUUUAUGAUUCCUUGGUCAUGAGUAAUUUGUUUACCAUGUCACUGGUCAUCUUCUCAGUCAAUGAAAUUAGCACUCAUAUCAUAUAUCCACUAUUCAAGUGCUUUCUGUUUUAAAAACUGUGUCUACACUUCUGCUAUGCAAAACAACAUUGAGGAUACAUGGCACUGAAAAAGUGGGAUUUACCCACAAAAGCUUGCAUAUUGUAUGGUUUUUAAAAUUUUUUAAUUAGUGGUCUAUAAAGGUAUUGCCUAUUCUUGAAUUUGGAUUUCGUACUGGCCACACAGCUCCCUCUCUUUUAUUUCAGUGGCCUGUUAGAUCAUGUUCAUUAUUUCAUUUGUUUUACUGAGCAAUCUUUGCAGACUAUCUGAAUUGUGAGCUUCGUAAUAACUAUUGUCCUGAAUACGAGAUAUUGUUGAUAACCUUUCUCUUGGCAACGACACCAAUAUCCAUCAGGAAGUGCUUCUCUACAUUCUUGCAGUACAAACUGAAAAGUAGCGAUAAAAGCAUGCCUCCUUGUUGAAUUCCUCUUGGCGUCUCUACAUUCUCUCUCUCGUGUGAUUUCAACUUCUUCUACAGCUUUUUAUUGUCAGUACAGGUUGCCAGUCAUUUGAAUAUCUGCUGAAUCAAGAUCUUUGUUUGCCAACAAUUCCAUCCGCUUGCCAUGUUGGAUUUUCUCCAAGGCUUUCUCAUCAGUAAAGCAACCCUAUCCACAUCCUGGUACGUAUGGAUCCAAAUUGUCCUUUGAAUCCAAACUGCAUGUCUUCUGAUUUUUCUUUCCACUUUUUGGCAAAUUCUGUAAAUUCUAUACUGUUGAUUACUUAGUUGUUUAAUGUAUGUGGGAAUUUUCCUGUAUUUUUAAUAAUUAAUUUCUUUCAUUGGAGGUGAACUAUAGUGAUAGCAGGAUUAUAAACUGAAUUUACUUCAGCUCUAGAAUAAAUUUUCACCAACUUAAUGCUGUUCUGCUAUCUCUAAUCACCUAGGAUAUAAUUCACAGGAUUUCUUACAGUGCUGUUAGUGCCGUCUUGUGGGAAUUUUCACAGGCACUCUGUGCUUGGUAACAAUUUGAAUGUAGCACUGAUGAUUACAAGAUCUUUUUCAUAAGACUCUGUCAUUUGUUCUCCAGACUUAUUUCAUGUUUCUAGUCCAUAUUUUUCAGGGGAAAAGAUCCACAUGCACUUUAUUGUUAAAAAUCCCUCAUUAUGAAAUACAGGUGUUGCAUUUUCAUGUUUUAUGACAGCCACACUGCUGUGUAACAGAAAUACUCAGGAAAAGUUAAUGAACCAGAGCAGAGCGGAGGACAAGACCAUACAUUUGAGCCGUAACAACCUCUGUAGCGACGGGAUUGCAACGGGACUUUAUAAACUCAUGUUUACUCAAAAGUGAAUCCUAUCCAAUUUUGCAGAGGGAAUCUCACUUGCCCACAGAAUUUAUUGAAGUUACUUCCUUGGAUUACAAUUCUCAAAAUUUCCCAACGGAGAUGGCCACCGUCGUAACUCGACAAUUUGUAGAAUUGCAGUCCAAAGAAGCAAUUUUUCUCAGUUCAGUUAGAGUUUCUGUUUUUUGUUUG